rnacentral:misc_RNA from 1 species
UUUCCGUAGGUGAACCUGCGGAAGGAUCAUUACAGUGUUCCCUGCCCUUCGGGGUAGGAUUGCCACCCUUGAUUAUUUAUGAGUGUUGCUUUGGCGGGCCUCGCGGCCUGGCCGCGCCCCGGCUUCGGCGGGGGAGCGCCCGCCAGAGGAUUCUACAAGCCUGAUUAUUAGUGUCGUCUGAGUACUAUAUAAUAGUUAAAACUUUCAACAACGGAUCUCUUGGUUCUG